GGGACGGCAGAUAGUCUAGUGGUUAGAGUGUAGGGGAGGCAGGUAGCCUAGUGGUUAGAGUGUAGGGACGGCAGAUAGCCUAGUGGUUAGAGUGUAGGGACGGCAGGUAGCCUAGUGGUUAGAGUGUAGGGGCGGCAGAUAGCCUAGUGGUUAGAGUGUAGGGGCGGCAGGUAGCCUAGUGGUUAGAGUGUAGGGACGGCAGGUAUCUUAGUGGUUAGAGUGUAGGGACGGCAGGUAGCCUAGUGGUUAGAGUGUAGUGGAGGCAGGUAGCCUAGUGGUUAGAGUGUAGGGGAGGCAGGUAGCCUAGUGGUUAGAGUGUAGGGACGGCAGAUAGCCUAGUGGUUAGAGUGUAGGGACGGCAGGUAGCCUAGUGGUUAGAGUGUAGGGGCGGCAGAUAGCCUAGUGGUUAGAGUGUAGGGGCGGCAGGUAGCCUAGUGGUUAGAGUGUAGGGACGGCAGGUAGCCUAGUGGUUAGAGUGUAGGGGCGGCAGAUAGCCUAGUGGUUAGAGUGUAGGGGCGGCAGGUAGCCUAGUGGUUAGAGUGUAGGGACGGCAGGUAUCUUAGUGGUUAGAGUGUAGGGACGGCAGGUAGCCUAGUGGUUAGAGUGUAGUGGAGGCAGGUAGCCUAGUGGUUAGAGUGUAGUGG
ensembl:lncRNA